GGUCCCAUAGCACAGUGGUAGUUGCGACUGCCUCGUAAGCAGUAGGCCGCGAGUUCGAUCCUCGCUGGGACCU
rnacentral:tRNA from 1 species